UAUUGAUUCAGAAGUUUUAAUAUAUAUUUACAUGUUCAAAAAGCUUAAGAUAUUUUAAAACAUAAUUUAUAUCAGUUGUAGCAUUACUAGUAUAUUUUAUUGUAAACAAUAGAAGUUUCAAUAGUUACAAUUUAAAUGAAGACAUCAUGGUGCUCUGUAGGAGAAUAUACUCAAUAGAAUGUAGAUCUGAACAUUGUUAUGUUACGGUGCUAUGUGAAUGAUGUAUUAUAUACUCAAAUAAAA
rnacentral:lncRNA from 1 species